UUUGGUGAUUAAAAAUUUCAAAACUAAGGUAGAAUAAUUAUUUUUUAUACCUUGGAUGAAAUUUCAGUCAAGUUUAGCUUGAAAAAUUGAUCGUAAAAAAAAUUACUAAAAGUUGUACAAUUUUUAUCACUCAAACUUCUAUUGGCAAAAAUCGUUCGCUACAAAAACUCAGAAAAAAAUUGCAGGUACUUGAGAGAGAGGAGAUGGGUAUGACCACGUCAGAGCCGAGAAUAAGCGUGGAGGAGGUGUACAGUUUGGUGAAGAACAAAAUUCUCAUCGAAUCUAUCCAGAUUCCCAUAUCGCUGGUUACAAUACUAAUUAACUCUUACUGUCUGACAGUGCUUUUACUAGUGCGAGAAAUUAGGCGAUUGGAUUACUUUCUAGUUGGGUUGCAAGUUUUGAGUGACUUACUUUUUAGUGGAGUUUUGUCUUUUUACUUUUUCGCAACUGAAAUAGUCCGAGCUGCUCUCUAUUUCUGCGACUAUCUGAACAAUGAUGUUCCCAGUGAUCAUGCCAUCAGUGAGAAGAUGAUGCAACUGAAGGCAACCUGCAAAGGCCGAAGAUACAGGCUAGAAGAAGAGAGC